AUACGGAGGGUCCAAGCGUUAUCCGGAAUCAUUGGGUUUAAAGGGUCCGCAGGCGGGAAAAUAAGUCAGUGGUGAAAGCCUACAGCUCAACUGUAGAACUGCCAUUGAUACUGUUUUUCUUGAGUAUAGAUGAAGUGGGCGGAAUAUAUCAUGUAGCGGUGAAAUGCAUAGAUAUGAUAUAGAACACCGAUUGCGAAGGCAGCUCACUAAACUAUUACUGACGCUCAGGGACGAAAGCGUGGGGAGCGAACAGGAUUAGAUACCCUAUUAGUCC
rnacentral:rRNA from 1 species